GACGAACGCUGGCGGCGUGCUUAACACAUGCAAGUCGAACGGAAAGGCCCUGCUUGCAGGGUACUCGAGUGGCGAACGGGUGAGUAACACGUGGGUGAUCUGCCCUGCACUUCGGGAUAAGCCUGGGAAACUGGGUCUAAUACCGGAUAGGAGCCAUUUUUAGUGUGAUGGUUGGAAAGUUUUUUCGGUGUAGGAUGAGCUCGCGGCCUAUCAGCUUGUUGGUGGGGUAAUGGCCUACCAAGGCGGCGACGGGUAGCCGGCCUGAGAGGGUGGACGGCCACAUUGGGACUGAGAUACGGCCCAGACUCCUACGGGAGGCAGCAGUGGGGAAUAUUGCACAAUGGGCGCAAGCCUGAUGCAGCGACGCCGCGUGGGGGAUGACGGCCUUCGGGUUGUAAACUCCUUUCGCUAGGGACGAAGCUUUUGUGACGGUACCUAGAUAAGAAGCACCGACUAACUACGUG
rnacentral:rRNA from 1 species